rnacentral:misc_RNA from 1 species
UUAACUAUUAUAUAGUACUCAGACGACACUAACAUUCAGAGUUUGUAGAGCCUCUGGCGGGCACGCGCUAGCUGAAGCGCCAGCGGCCGGGACCCGGCGGCCCGCCAAAGCAACAAUAGUAACGAUAACAGUGGGUGGGAGAUCUACCCGUGAGGGCGAGAACUCUGUAAUGAUCCCUCCGCAGGUUCACCUACGGAGA